rnacentral:lncRNA from 1 species
UCGCGGAGGUUUUGUUUCCCAGAGGAGCAGCCGGCGCCAGCCCCGCGGGCGGGGAGGGCUCAGCCCCCGGCGAGGGAGAGCCCAAAGGAGCGCUCGGGUGCCCCGGGCACACCGGGAAUGAGGGAACAGCGCCGGGAGAGCGGCCGGCAGCUCCCGGAGCUGCUCCAGGCCUGGAGCCCCUCGGUUCCCGGGGAUCCAGCCCGGGAGAGCCGGGAAUGCUCCCCUGGAGAAGGGAAAGCUCCUCUGCGUUCACUCGGCUGCCACAGCACGGCUGCAGGUGCAGGAACGAACCAUUCCCGUUCCCACACUGCCAGAAACUCGGGGAAAUCACGGCAUUCAGCAAUCCGGUGCUAAUUUAAAACCCAAGGAUGUUUCAAUAUCCAGCAAAAACCCCGCAGGCAAUCCCGUCCCCAGGAGCCACCAGAGCCCCCUCAAACAGGAAUUCCGUGUUUAUUCCAGGGAUAUCCGGCUGAAGGGAGAGGGAAGAGGGAGGGAUGAGGAGGGAGAGGGGCCGGAGGUGACGGUGACACGGAGCUGGGCGCUCCUGGAGAUGCUCCCCUGCAGCAGCUUCAGCUUCCUCUGCCAGGAACAGAUGGAGGCACUGCCAUGGAUCCGUGUCCUGCCAGCUGGAUCCCAUCUUAUCCUCCUUUUCCAGCUGGAUCCCACCUUAUCCCACCUUUUCCAGCUGGAUCCCAUCUCAUCCCUCCUUUUCCAGCUGGAUCCCACCUUAUCCCUCCUUUCCCAGCUGGAUCCCAUCUUAUCUCUCAUUUUCCAGCUUGAUCCCACCUUGUCCUUCCUCUCCCAGUUUGGAUCCCACCUCAAUCCUCCUCUCCCAGCUGGAUCCCAUCUCGUCCCUCCUCUCCCAGUUUGGAUCCCACACCGAUUCCCUGAUCCCAGCUGGAUCCCACACCGAUUCCCUGAUCCCAGCUGGAUCCCACACCGAUUCCCUGAUCCCACACCGAUUCCCUGAUCCCAGUUUGGAUCCCACAACAAUUCCCUGAUCCCACCUGGAUCCCACACCGAUUCCCUGCUCCCAGCUGGAUCCCACACCGAUUCCCUGAUCCCAGCUGGAUCCCACACUGAUUCCCUGAUCCCAGCUGGAUCCCACACCAAUUCCCUGAUCCCACACCGAUUCCCUGAUCCCAGCUGGAUCCCACACCGAUUCCCUGA